AACGUAGGACACAAGCGUUAUCCGGAAUUACUGGGCGUAAAGGGCGCGUAGGCGGCCUGUUAAGUCGAACGUGAAAUCCCCGGGCUCAACCCGGGAACUGCGUCCGAUACUGGCAGGCUUGAAUUCGGGAGAGGGAUGCGGAAUUCCAGGUGUAGCGGUGAAAUGCGUAGAUAUCUGGAGGAACACCGGUGGCGAAGGCGGCAUCCUGGACCGGCAUUGACGCUGAGGAGCGAAAGCCAGGGGAGCAAACGGG
rnacentral:rRNA from 1 species